GGGGAUUUAGCUCAGUGGGACACCACCUGCCUGGCAAGCAUGAGGACCUGAGUUCAAUUCCCAGUACUCCCCU
rnacentral:tRNA from 1 species